rnacentral:rRNA from 1 species
AGAAUCAACGCUGGCGGCGUGCCUAACACAUGCAAGUCGAACGGGAAAGUGGAGCAAUCCAUGAGUAAAGUGGCGACCGGGUGAGUAACACGUGACUAACCUACCUUUCAGUGGGGAAUAACCUCGGGAAACCGGGGCUAAUACCGCAUAAUGUCUUCGGACCAAAGGAGCAAUUCGCUGGAAGAGGGGGUCGCGGCCGAUUAGCUAGUUGGCGGGGUAACGGCCCACCAAGGCAAUGAUCGGUAGCC